rnacentral:rRNA from 1 species
CCUACGGGGGGCAGCAGUGAGGAAUAUUGGUCAAUGGGCGUAAGCCUGAACCAGCCAAGUCGCGUGAGGGAUGAAGGUUCUAUGGAUCGUAAACCUCUUUUAUAAGGGAAUAAAGUGUGGGACGUGUCCUGUUUUGUAUGUACCUUAUGAAUAAGGAUCGGCUAACUCCGUGCCAGCAGCCGCGGUAAUACGGAGGAUCCGAGCGUUAUCCGGAUUUAUUGGGUUUAAAGGGUGCGUAGGCGGCCUUUUAAGUCAGCGGUGAAAGUCUGUGGCUCAACCAUGGAAUUGCCGUUGAAACUGGGAGGCUUGAGUAUGUUUGAGGCAGGCGGAAUGCGUGGUGUAGCGGUGAAAUGCGUAGAUAUCACGAAGAACCCCGAUUGCGAAGGCAGCCUGCCAGGCCAUGACUGACGCUGAUGCACGAAAGCGUGGGGAUCAAACAGGAUUAGAUACCCUAGUAGUC